rnacentral:lncRNA from 1 species
UCUUUUUGUCCCUCCAUUUUUUUGUCUCGUUUUGUUUUGUUGCCAUCGCUACUGUUUGCAUUGCAGAUGCAGUGUCGUACCUAUUAGUCCUUGUUGCUCUAACAUAUGUCACUCCUUUAUUGGCGAAUUUUUAACUCCCCAUUUAAUUCCACUUAAUAAUCCGAAUCAAUUCCUCUCUCUGUCUUUCUCUUUCUCAUUACUCUCUCUUCCUCAAUCUUCUCAUUCUCCGUCUUUCUCUUUCUCUUCCUUAAUCUUCUCCUCUUUUUCUUUUAUCUCUUAUCUUUUUGUUUCUUCCUUCAUCUCACUUAAUAUAUUUCUCUUUCAAUCUUUUCCUUCAAAUCUAUUUGAAGUUUUUGUAGUUCUCUGAAUCAUGGAGAUCGCGUCUUCGAAUUUCCUCACACUUAUAUGGAUUGUCGCUCGAGGAAGAGAGCGAGAUUAGGCUACGACAUCCCUGAAGUUCCCAAGAUAACUUUUUGAUCCUAAAAUCUGAGUUUUUGAUAUUUUUUCUUCUUCUUUUUCUUGCGCUUUUAUCUUUUCAGGUUGUAGAUCUGGUGCAAUUUAUGCAAAUUAGGUAUGUUUGAUUCAGGUAACAUGCUUU